ACGCUUGAAGUCAGUCGCGUUGUCCAGAGAUCAACCUUGCUUUUGCUUGGUGUACUUUUUGGUUAACGGGUCAGCAUCAAUUGUAACUAUUGGAAAAAGGUCGAAGGAAUGUGGCAUCUUUGGAUGUGUUAUAGCCUUGGAUUGCAUACAAUGGUUGGGAUUGAGGAACUCAGCACGCCGCAAGGCCGGGUUAUUAACCACGUACGUGCUUAGGAUGCUGGCAUAAUGGCUUUAAUCGACCCGUCUUGAAACACGGACCAAGGAGUC
rnacentral:rRNA from 1 species